rnacentral:piRNA from 1 species
UGCCAAAACUAGUGUCAGAGCUGGUUCCCCU